UAUACUGCAUGGUUUGGGCACCUUGGCAUCCUGGUCAUAACCAGCUAAUGUAGCACUGGCUAGCUAGCUAGGUCACAUGGAACCAUAAUUUGCAGCAGAAUGUAAGGUAUAUUUAACCUAAAAAAGAAAAAAGCACACACAUAACAUGGCUAUUUACCCCAGGUAGAGGUGUUUCAGGUGGAGGACACUGUUAUCAGCUCUUCUGCAAGCCUCCAGUGCUGGACUAAGCUGGAUAUUUCUUGCAGUGUGCCCCGAGAAGCGUUCCGGUUGCACCCAGCGUCAGUCAGGGGCCUCAGCACUGACUGACACUCUGUGGAUGAUAGCGAAAUCUAGCAGAAGGAGGGAACGCGAUGGUCCCCAAUGGAAGUGCGUGCGCGACUGUGCAGGUGUGACGCCAGCUGCUGGGCUCCCAAACACCCCCCCACUUCUCCU